CCUACGGGAGGCAGCAGCCGCGGUAAUAUUGCCCAAUGCGCGAAAGCGUGAGGCAGCAACGCCGCGUGGAGGAAGACGGCCUUCGGGUUGUAAACUCCUUUCAGUUGGGACGAAGCUUCACUGGUUAAGAGCUGGUUGGAGUGACGGUACCUUUAGAAGAAGCCCCGGCUAACUACGUGCCAGCAGCCGCGGUAAU
rnacentral:rRNA from 1 species